UACGUAGGGCGCAAGCGUUGUCCGGAAUUAUUGGGCGUAAAGAGCUCGUAGGUGGUUUGUCGCGUUGUUCGUGAAAACUCACAGCUUAACUGUGGGCGUGCGGGCGAUACGGGCAGACUGGAGUACUGCAGGGGAGACUGGAAUUCCUGGUGUAGCGGUGAAAUGCGCAGAUAUCAGGAAGAACACCCGUGGCGAAGGCGGCUCUCUGGGACGGUACUGACGCUGAGACGCGAAAGCGUGGGGAGCGAACAGG
rnacentral:rRNA from 1 species